AAGGAUUUAGCUCAGCAGCAAAGCAUCUGCUUGGCAAGCACAAAGUCUUGAGUUCAAUUCCUGGUAUCCUUC
rnacentral:tRNA from 1 species